rnacentral:tRNA from 1 species
GGCAGCGUGGCUCUGUGGUUAGGGCAUCAGACUGGGGAUCAGGAGACCUGGGUUUUAUUUCUGAUGCUGCCG